rnacentral:tRNA from 1 species
GCCCGGGUGGCGGAAUGGCAGACGCGAUGGACUCAAAAUCCAUUGUCCGAGAGGGCGUGCGGGUUCGAGUCCCGCCCCGGGCA